AAAACUACAAUUGUUUUUGUUGAAUACAAAUAUUAAAUUUUAUUGUUCCAAAAAAUUUAAUUGUUGUUUUUACACCAAACUGAUUGGAACACAAGUACCUUAGAUUCAAUAAAAUAUUUUAUUGGCUAUUGACAUAAUCUGUUUUGCUUUCAAAAAAAGUUUUUUUGUUUCAAAAAAUCCUAAUAUUGAUACACAUACAUAUGCAUUAUAUGAGAGUGUAUGAGUAUGUUUUUUUUUGCUAGUAUGUACGCACGGCCAGACGCCAUUUCCAUGAUUUGAAACAAAGCUAAAAUGGAUUCAACAGAAGAAGUACUGGCUAUGAAUGUUGAGGAAGUUAUUGACGCGCUGGUGGAUUUAUUGCUGAGUUUUGGACUCUCUGAAGAAUUUAUCAAUCGUACCCUGGAAAAUCAAUAUACCCUUGAAACCAUGCAAAUCCUGGAACGGAAGGAAAUUCAAGAAUUGAUGCAUGGAUUGUCCAGGUAUCUCCACCAUUAUCCACAGAUUGCCUUUCGACCGCAUCACCGGUGGUAAGAGAAAGUAAUUCCGAAGCCAUCACUCGUGAACGGUGCAUGGUUAUUUACGUGCUGACCGCGUCAACAAAAUGCCGAGUUAUUUGCAGAAAUGGCAAAUGCAAUUUUUUAACCAGGAGCUUAUAAGAAGGCAAUAACUCAUCUAAUGAUUAUUUGUAAAUGAGAUGUAAAUAAAAUCUAAAUUGAGAGAAAA